GGAGCGCCCGGGGGCGGCGGUGGGCAGCGCUGCGGGACCCUCCUGCCGCGGGGCUGCGGCCGGGACAGGUGAGGGGCUGUGCGCGGCAUCAGCUCCUCUUGCCACCCCACCACCGUCCCUGGUUUGGUUUUUGGUUGGUUUUUUUUUUUUUUUUUUUUUUUUUUUUUUUUUGGUUUUUUUUUUUUUUUUUUGGUUUUUUUUGGUUUUUUUUGGUUUUCUGGGCGAAGAAGGAAAAUCCUAAAAGCGGGUCCAUGAGGUUUUUGUGCCGAUGUUCCGUGCUGUUAGGCUUACGCGGAGCUGGUUGCCACAGCAGGCGCUGAGAGGCUUUGAUGCAGGCGCUGCCUCCUGGUCCGAACCAUCUGAACAUGGUCACUAAUGCCCCGAGCAGGCAGCGGCAGCUCAAGCAGGAUGUCACAGGUUCCUGGCCACAUCACCCACUGGGUGGCCCUCAGAGGACAGCCUCCAGCCAGAUGGGCACUGCAUCUGCUGACAUAGGUGGGCUAGGAUGGAUGUGGAGAGCUGGGUGCAGCUGUAGCCACGCCUGCCAUCCCAUGUCACACAUGCCACGUGCCAGGGUCAUGGGUAGUGUAAAGGCGUGUGUGGCACUGGUUUUGGUGGAGUUCCCACGAUCCACCCCGGCAGGGAGCAGAGCCUGA
rnacentral:lncRNA from 12 species